UGCCAGCAGCCGCGGUAAUACGGAGGGGGUUAGCGUUGUUCGGAAUUACUGGGCGUAAAGCGCACGUAGGCAUCUUGUGAAAUCCCUCGGCUCAACCGGGGAAUUGCAGGGUGAACCACAAGUCUUGAGGCGAGUAGAGGCGGUCGGAACGAUAGGUGGAGCGGUGAAAUGCGUAGAUAUCUAUCGGAACGCCAAAGGUGAAGACAGGCCGCUGGGCUCGUCCUGACGCUGAGGUACGAAAGCAUGGGUAGCGAACGGGAUUAGAUA
rnacentral:rRNA from 1 species